rnacentral:rRNA from 1 species
AUGGUUGAAGAAACAAAGAAGAAGUAUAGUAGAGAUUACUUGACAUGGACAGAUGAGAUGGAUAAGGUAUUGUUGGAUGUCUUUGUUGAACAUCACAACAGAGGUGAUCAAGGCCAAAAUGGAUGGAAGCCACAUGUCUACACUGCUGCUAUAAAGGCAAUACGUGAUAAGUGUGGGUUGCACGUCACAAAGGAAAAUAUGUCAAGGAUGAAGACUUUUGACAAGCAUUAUGCUACAAUUAGCAAGAUUCUUUCUCAAAGUGGAUUUGGUUGGGAUUGGGUCAAUAACAAGCUACUCAUGGACAGUGAUGAUGUGUGGAACAAAUAUGUGCAGGCUAAUCCGAAGGCAGCUUGUUACAAGAACAAAGAAGUGAAGAAUUGGGAGGCAAUUUGCACAAUAUACUCCAAAGAUCAUCCAACCGGUGAAGGUGCAAUGACAGGUGCUGAAACUGAAGCGCAACCACCAGAACCCGAUGUAGUAGCCAUCAAAGACUCAUCCAAAAUGCCACAAAAAAGGCAGCGAACAUGUGAUGCUAUCUUGUGCAUGCUUGGAGACAUGAAAUGUUCUUUUCAAGAUGCUUUGAAAUCACUUGAGCCACUUGAACUGCCCAAGGUUACCCCUCCUCUUGAAAUCCUUGCUGCCCUUGAAAAGAUCCCAGAGUUGGCUCGUUCUGACAUGUUGCGAGCAUAUGGUAAACUCAUCCUUAGUGAACGCUUAUUUCACGCGCUUAUGGAGUUGCCCAUGGACUUUAGGAAGGAAUGGUUGCUGACGCUCAAUGAGAAGAACAACAUUUGA